AGGUCUUUAGUAUAGUGGCGAUUAUGCUAGGCUCCAAACCUAGUGACGGGUGUUCGAUUCACCCAAGGCCUG
rnacentral:tRNA from 1 species